CUACGGAGGAUGCGAGCGUUAUCCGGAUUUAUUGGGUUUAAAGGGAGCGUAGGUGGGAUAUUAAGUCAGCUGUGAAAGUUUGGGGCUCAACCUUAAAAUUGCAGUUGAUACUGGUUUCCUUGAGUACGGUACAGGUGGGCGGAAUUCGUGGUGUAGCGGUGAAAUGCUUAGAUAUCACGAAGAACUCCGAUCGCGAAGGCAGCUCACCGGGCCGGAACUGACACUGAUGCUCGAAAGUGUGGGUAUCAAACAGGAUUAGAUACCCUGGUAGUCCACACAGUAAACGAUGAAUACUCGCUGUUUGCGAUAUACAGUAAGCGGCCAAGCGAAAGCAUUAAGUAUUCCACCUGGGGAGUACGCCGGCAACGGUGAAACUCAAAUGAAUUGACGGGG
rnacentral:rRNA from 1 species